GACGAACGCUGGCGGCGUGCCUAGUACAUGCAAGUAGAACGCUGAAGGAGGAGCUUGCUUCUCUGGAUGAGUUGCGAACGGGUGAGUAACGCGUAGGUAACCUGCCUGGUAGCGGGGGAUAACUAUUGGAAACGAUAGCUAAUACCGCAUAAGAGUAGAUGUUGCAUGACAUUUGCUUAAAAGGUGCAAUUGCAUCACUACCAGAUGGACCUGCGUUGUAUUAGCUAGUUGGUGAGGUAACGGCUCACCAAGGCGACGAUACAUAGCCGACCUGAGAGGGUGAUCGGCCACACUGAGACUGAGACACGGCCCAGACUCCUACGGGAGGCAGCAGUAGGGAAUCUUCGGCAAUGGACGGGAGUCUGACCGAGCAACGCCGCGUGAGUGAAGAAGGUUUUCGGAUCGUAAAGCUCUGUUGUAAGAGAAGAACGAGUGUGAGAGUGGAAAGUUCACACUGUGACGGUAUCUUACCAGAAAGGGACGGCUAACUACGUG
rnacentral:rRNA from 1 species